rnacentral:rRNA from 1 species
UACCAGCACCCCGAGUGGUCGGGACGUUUUAUUGGGCCUAAAGCAUCCGUAGCCGGUUCUACAAGUCUUCCGUUAAAUCCACCUGCUUAACAGAUGGGCUGCGGAAGAUACUAUAGAGCUAGGAGGCGGGAGAGGCAAGCGGUACUCGAUGGGUAGGGGUAAAAUCCGUUGAUCCAUUGAAGACCACCAGUGGCGAAGGCGGCUUGCCAGAACGCGCUCGACGGUGAGGGAUGAAAGCUGGGGGAGCA